rnacentral:tRNA from 1 species
GCCUGGAUAGUUCAGUUGGUUAGAGCAUGGUGCUGAUAAUGUCAAGGUUGCAAGUUCAAUCCCUGUAUGGUGCA